UUUCUACUUUUUCCGUCCAACAAAAAAUUUCUCAAGUUUGUUAAAAUUUAGAUGUAUCUAGACAUGACUUAGUGUAUAGUUGCAUUCAGAUUUAGUUAAAGUUAAAACUUCUUUUGUUGGACAGAGAAAGUAUUGG
rnacentral:pre_miRNA from 1 species